AGAGUUUGAUCAUGGCUCAGAACGAACGCUGGCGGCGUGCUUAACACAUGCAAGUCGAACGAGAAAGAGUUCUUCGGAACUUGAGUAAAGUGGCGCACGGGUGAGUAACGCGUAGAUAACCUGUCCUGGUGUCAGGGAUAACCCUUCGAAAGGGGGACUAAUACCUGAUACGCUGAUCAUUCACAAGAGUGAUCAUGAAAGGUGGCCUCUAUUUAUAAGCUACCGCAUUUGGAGGGGUCUGCGUACCAUUAGCUAGUUGGUGGGGUAAAAGCCUACCAAGGCUACGAUGGUUAGCGGGUCUGAGAGGAUGAUCCGUCACACUGGCACUGAAACACGGGCCAGACUCCUACGGGAGGCAGCAGUGAGGAAUAUUGCGCAAUGGGGGAAACCCUGACGCAGCGACGCCGCGUGAGUGAGGAAGGCCUUAGGGUCGUAAAACUCUGUCAGAAGGGAAGAAAUGUUAACAGGUUAAUACCCUGUUGAUUUGACGGUACCUUCAAAGGAAGCACCGGCUAACUCCGUGCCAGCAGCCGCGGUAAUACGGAAGGGUGCAAGCGUUGUUCCGAAUCACUGGGGCGUAAAGGGCGCGCAGGCGGUUU
rnacentral:rRNA from 1 species